rnacentral:rRNA from 1 species
CCUACGGGAGGCAGCAGUGGGGGAUAUUGCACAAUGGGGGAAACCCUGAUGCAGCGACGCCGCGUGAAUGAAGGAGUAUUUCGGCAUGUAAACUUCUAUCAGCAGGGAAGAAAAUGACGGUACCUGACUAAGAAGCCCCGGCUAACUACGUGCCAGCAGCCGCGGUAAUACGUAGGGGGCAAGCGUUAUCCGGAUUUACUGGGUGUAAAGGGAGCGUAGGCGGUUUAGCAAGUCAGAAGUGAAAGCACGGGGCUCAACUCCGGGACUGCUUUUGAAACUGCUGAACUAGAGUGCAGGAGAGGCAAGCGGAAUUCCUAGUGGAGCGGUGAAAUGCGUAGAUAUUAGGAGGAACACCAGUGGCGAAGGCGGCUUACUGGACUGUAAAUGACGUUGAGGCUCGAAAGCGUGGGGAGCAAACAGGAUUAGAUACCCUGGUAGUC